rnacentral:rRNA from 1 species
AGUGAACGCUGGCGGCAGGCCUAACACAUGCAAGUCGAACGGCAACACAGUAAGAGCUUGCUCUUACGGGUGGCGAGUGGCGGACGGGUGAGGAAUACAUCAGCAUCUUCUUUUUCGUGGGGGAUAACGUAGGGACACUUACGCUAAUACCGCAUACGACCUACGGGUGAAAGCAGUGGAUCUUCGCACCUUGCGCGAUUGAAUGAGCCGAUGUCGGAUUAGCUAGUUGGCGGGGUAAAGGCCCACCAAGGCAACGAUACGUAGCUGGUCUGAGAGGAUGAUCGGCCACACUGGAACUGAGACACGGUCCAGACUCCUACGGGAGGCAGCAGUAGGGAAUAUUGGACAAUGGGCGCAAGCCUGAUCCAGCCACGCCGCGUGAGUGAAGAAGGUCUUCGGGUUGUAAAGCUCUUUUGUUGGGAAAGAAAAGCUGUAGGUGAAUACACCGCUGUCUUGACGGUACCCAAAGAAAAAGCACCGGCUAACUACGUG